rnacentral:rRNA from 1 species
GAUGAACGCUGGCGGUAGGUUUUAACACAUGCAAGUCGAACGGUGAUCUUGGGAGCUUGCUCUUGGGUGAUCAGUGGCGAACGGGUGAGUAACACGUGGGUAACCUGCCCCUGACUCUGGAAUAACUUCGGGAAACCGAAGCUAAUACCGGAUACGACACAGAGCUGCAUGGCUACUGUGUGGAAAGUUUUUCGGUUGGGGAUGGACUCGCGGCCUAUCAGCUUGUUGGUGAGGUAAUGGCUCACCAAGGCGACGACGGGUAGCCGGCCUGAGAGGGCGAUCGGCCACACUGGGACUGAGACACGGCCCAGACUCCUACGGGAGGCAGCAGUGGGGAAUAUUGCACAAUGGGCGAAAGCCUGAUGCAGCGACGCCGCGUGAGGGAUGAAGGCCUUCGGGUUGUAAACCUCUUUCAGUAGGGAAGAAGCGCAAGUGACGGUACCUACAGAAGAAGCACCGGCUAACUCUGUGCCAGCCGCCGCAGUAAAAC